CGGCCGCUGACGCACUUCCCCCACACACUCAGUGCCCGGUAACGGCCCCGGUCACCUCCGCGCAUACACUGUAUCUCUCCAUAUUACCCCAUGUGUUCGUGUAUUCUACUCAUAUGAAUGUUGGACCACUCUUCCUAUAACCAUCAAUAAGCUUCUUACACCUCUCAGCCGGACUGUUGGACCACUCUUCCUUUACAAACUGCUCCAGGUCUCCUAUUGGAAGGCGCCUUUUUAUAUUGCCCACACCUGUUACUUGCCCCAGGAACUAAAGGACAUCCAUAGAUGGUAGACCUGGAGGUUUUCUGUAGGCCCCGAGUUGCCAUGGACACACAGUGGGGGACAAGGAUCAGAAUGCGCUGACAUAGUGAGGAGACGUCUGGGCAUCAAGUUCUGCAGAGAGAAGAUUUAGCUGGAACAAAUCCUGGCGAUCCUGAGGUCAAGUCCAGUCCAGACGUCUCAGAGUCAGUGUCCAGCAUAUCUGGAGGCCUCAAGCCUGACCUACAGCCACAUGUCAAUGUAGCAGAGCUGGAUUUUGUGGAUACAGAUUAGUGUAGCUGGAGAAGCAAUUUAAAACAUUUUCAAGAUGCGAACAAAGAAGACAUUCUGGCCAUUGUAGUCCUCCAAGCCUGAACACAAGUUUAAUAAGUAAUGACUCAGGGCGGGUGAUGGAGGAGCCCGGACCUGCCAAAUACGACAUCAUAACAGAUCCCAACUUUUCUCAUCAAACAUCCGCCUCGAUGGGGUCACCGGACCGGAUGAAUGAGCACAUUACAUAUCUGAGCCCGACUUCUGCUGAUGUGGAAUCUAUUAGACUUGGGCAAAUAAAAAAGUUGGCACCGUCUCGGAUCCCGGCUCUGUGUGCGUUUCGUAGCCACUUCCUGGACAUCACAUGACCCGCUGAUAGCCGGAGCCCUCAUCACUGCACAGGGGCAGGUCACACAUCUGCGCUGAUAUACGGGAAUAGUGGGAGAGGUUUUCUUUAUUUCAGUAACUGUGUGGUCAGGACUAU